CAAUAGCAUAUAUUAACGUUGUUGCAGUUGAAAAGCUCGUAGUUGAACUUUUGGUAGGAGCGACCUGGCCUUGGGCGCAUGCCCUUGUUUGCCGUGUGUCGUGUCUGGCCAUCCUUUUCCGUUUCGGCGGGAAUCUUUUACUGUGAGUAAACUGGAGUGCUCAAAACAAGACGUUUGUUUGGUACAUUAAAGCAUGGAAUAAUAAGAUAGGACCUGGUUACUAUUUUGUUGGUUUGCAUAGCUAGGUAAUGAUUAACAGGGACAGUUGGGGGUAUUCGUAUUUAAUUGUCAGAGGUGAAAUUCUUGGAUUUAUGAAAGACGAACGACUGCGAAAGCAUUUACCAAGGAUGUUUUCAUUA
rnacentral:rRNA from 1 species